UACGAAGGGGGCUAGCGUUGUUCGGAAUUACUGGGCGUAAAGGGCGCGUAGGCGGUGUGUCAAGUCAGGCGUGAAAGCCCCGGGCUCAACCUGGGAACCGCGCUUGAGACUGGCACGCUCGAGUUCGGGAGAGGAUGGUGGAAUUCCCAGUGUAGAGGUGAAAUUCGUAGAUAUCAGGAGGAACACCGGUGGCGAAGGCGGCUUUCUGGACGAUAACUGACGCUGAGACGCGAAAGCGUGGGGAGCAAACAGG
rnacentral:rRNA from 1 species